ensembl:lncRNA
GGGGCCGAUCGCGCCGGAAGUGGGGGUGGGCGGCGCGGCGGGCGCGCGGCGAAGGCCGGGAGUCUGUCCGUGCAGCGGCCGCAGGCUUCGGCCCCGCCUUUUGCGUCUCCGCCGGACGCGGCCGCAGUGGGCUCCGUCGCCGCGGGGCACUGCGUCCUCCCCGCCCCGCCGCCGCCGCCCAGUCGGCUGGCCAGUCAGUCGGUUUGUCAGGCAGUCAGCCACUCAGGAGCAGCUGGCGUUCGUGCGUGUCCGGGGCAAGAGCGCCGCGCCCGGGGAGGAGGUGGUGGCGACGGCAGCCCGGGCCGCUGAAGGAGUGAGCGGCCGUCGCGCUGGUACUUUCAAUGCGAUAUUGAAAAGGAGUGAAAGAGGAAUUGGGAGUAGCUUCUGUGAGGGAUACAGAAACUACUAAUAAGAUGGAAUGAAGAGAUAGAAUCGAAGAGAUGGAGAUUGAAGAAUAGAAGUAGAACAUUUUGGAAUGAACUUUGGAAGAGAGAGAAUAGGACAUGAAGGAGUAGAGAGAAGA